AUGGGACAAAAAAUAAAUCCACUCGGUUUCAGACUUGGUACAACCCAAAAACACAAUUCCUUUUGGUUCGCACAACCAAAAAAUUAUUCUGAAGGUCGACAAGAAGAUAAAAAAAUAAGGGAUUGUAUCAAGAACUAUAUACAAAAGAAUAGGAAAAAGGGCUCGAAUAGAAAAAUAGAAUCAGACUCAAGUUCCGUAGUAAUUACACAUAAUAGAAAAAUGGACUCAGGUUCAAGUUCCGAAGUAAUUACACAUAUAGAAAUCCAAAAAGAAAUCGAUACGAUCCACGUCAUAAUCCAUAUUGGAUUCCCAAAUUUAUUAAAGAAAAAAGGAGCAAUCGAAGAAUUAGAGAAAGAUCUACAAAAGGAAAUUAACUCUGUAAACCAGAGAUUUAAUAUUUCUAUCGAAAAAGUUAAAGAACCUUAUAGAUAG
rnacentral:rRNA from 1 species